GCGGCGUGGGUCACCCAGGAGGCUGCAUCCGGAGUCCGCGGGGCCCGGGGCCAGAGAGAGAAGGGAAGUUCCUCGGUCAAAAGAGACAUCCAGUGCUCUGGAGAUUCGAAAUUGAAGAAUAUAGCCGACCUGCUCUUAAGGAGCAAAUGGUCCUUCAGGACAAGACACUUCUGAAUGAAAAGAAAAUGCACCUUCUAAGAAAGCACAAAAGAGCAGCACAGAUGAUGACAGCCAGAGCCCAGAAGGACAGACAGAUGCAAGAAGAGGAAACUGAGGAAACCGUGACAAGUGGUCUACACAGCGGUUUGUCUUUU